GCCGCUCACACGGGGUGCCCAUUUCGGGCUGAGAGGCAUCGCGCCAACCCGCUGAACCUGAUCCGGCUCGUACCGGCGGAGGGAUGGGGAGCGUCCGCGAC
rnacentral:ncRNA from 2 species